AUUGAACGCUGGCGGCAGGCUUAACACAUGCAAGUCGAACGAGUGGCGGACGGGUGAGUAAUGCUUGGGCAUCUGGCUUAUGGAGGGGGAUAACUACGGGAAACUGUAGCUAAUACCGCUUACCAUAGGAUGAGCCCAAGUGGGAUUAGGCAGUUGGGGAGGUAAAGGCUCACCAAGCCGACGAUCUCUAGCUGGUCUGAGAGGAUGACCAGCCACACUGGGACUGAGACACGGCCCAGACUCCUACGGGAGGCAGCAGUGGGGAAUAUUGCGCAAUGGGGGAAACCUGACGCAGCCAUGCCGCGUGAAUGAAGAAGGCCUUCGGGUUGUAAAGUUCUUUCGGUAGCGAGGCGUUAACUACAGAAGAAGCACCGGCUAACUCCGUGCCAGCAGCCGCGGUAAUUC
rnacentral:rRNA from 1 species